GGUGUCUAAUAUUUUGCGUGAAUAUUCUUACAUUAAUUUUUACGUUCCAGUUAAUAAAUAAUUAAUUAAACUAGUUUAGAGAAAUUAAUACUUAAUAUUUCGCGAACCAUUUACACAACUGCCACUUGCCAUAAAGUUGUGUAAUAAAAAAGCUGCCAUUUUUAAUAUGCUUUUUAGGAUAAAAGCUUAGAACUAAAGUAGAUUAAAUAUUAAUGAGUCCUGAGAGAAAUUAUUUAGCUUCAAAGUAAUACUAUAAAACUCGUCUAAAAAUAAUAUGAAUGUAUUAGUAAAUUUCAAUUAUUCUAAAGCUAUGACUACGCAAAUUUGAGGAACUAAUAUGUGCUUCUGAAACUGCUCUGCCAUUUCUAUUUUAACUUGGCUGAAGAGUAGAAGCCAGUUUCAGUGCGAUAGCUAUUUUUUGAAAAGUUUCUCUAAGUUCGAGUACGUUUAAUUUCGCACGAGGCGAACGCUCUACUCUCGAGCAAUUUAUUUUAGUACUUAAAGCGUCCGAACGACGCUUUUUGUACGGGUUUUUCUUUUUCCCGUUCCCGCUGGACACGUCUCGUCCACGCGGUGUGAACCCGGCCGUGCGGGCCCGCCAUUACGAUAGCCAAACGAGGAUUGAGGCAUUCCGACCUACCGAGAUUCUCCAAAGGAAAGUUUCCCCCAGUCCCGGUGGUUGUGUAGUCCCACAGACGAAGGCCAGUUGGAGACCCGUGACGCUUCCUGAGGAGAGGAGACGGCAGAGUAUUGGACCAUCAGCCACCGCCCUUUCUCGCAACUAUAGAUCGGCCAACUACGCACGUGUGCCCAUUCCGGCGAUGCAUCUGCCGAAGAGCUCGAGUAUUCCGUCGCA